CCUACGGGCGGCAGCAGUGGGGGAUAUUGCACAAUGGGGGGAACCCUGAUGCAGCGACGCCGCGUGAGCGAUGGAGUACUUCGGUGUGUAAAGCUCUGUCAGCAGGGAAGAAAAUGACGGUACCUGACCAAGAAGCCCCGGCUAAAUACGUGCCAGCAGCCGCGGUAAUACGUAGGGGGCAAGCGUUAUACGGAUUUACUGGGUGUAAAGGGGGCGUAGGCGGCUGGGCAAGCCUGAUGUGAAAGCCCGGGGCUCAACCCCGGGACUGCACUGGGAACUGCCCUGCUGGAGUACAGGAGGGGCAGGCGGAAUUCCUAGUGUAGCGGUGAAAUGCGUAGAUAUUAGGAGGAACACCAGUGGCGAAGGCGGCCUGCUGGACUGUGACUGACGCUGAGGCUCGAAGGCGUGGGGAGCAAACAGGAUUAGAUACCCCAGUAGUC
rnacentral:rRNA from 1 species